rnacentral:tRNA from 1 species
GGGCUGGAAACGAUGCUGGUGCUCGUCUCGGUCUUCAAAACCGCUAUGUGAGGCGCGUGUCGUCUCUGGUGGGUUCGAUUCCCACACAGUCCC